GUGGGGAAUAUUGGACAAUGGGCGAAAGCCCGAUCCAGCCAUGCCGCGUGUGUGAAGAAGGUCUUCGGAUUGUAAAGCACUUUAAGUUGGGAGGAAGGGCAGUAAGUUAAUACCUUGCUGUUUUGACGUUACCGACAGAAUAAGCACCGGCUAACUUCGUGCCAGCAGCCGCGGUAAUACGAAGGGUGCAAGCGUUAAUCGGAAUUACUGGGCGUAAAGCGCGCGUAGGUGGUUUUGUAAGUUGGAGGUGAAAUCCCCGGGCUCAACCUGGGAACUGCCUCCAAAACUGCAUGACUAGAGUACGGUAGAGGGUAGUGGAAUUUCCUGUGUAGCGGUGAAAUGCGUAGAUAUAGGAAGGAACACCAGUGGCGAAGGCGACUACCUGGACUGAUACUGACACUGAGGUGCGAAAGCGUGGGGAGCAAACAGGAUUAGAAACCCGGGUAGUCC
rnacentral:rRNA from 1 species